GAACGGGUGAGUAACGUGGGUGACCUGCCCUCAGCUCUGGGAUAACCCGGGAAACUGGUAAUACCGGAUAUGACCUCCCACCGGUUGUGGUGGAAAGUUUUUCGGCUGGGGAUGGGCCCGCGGCCUAUCAGCUUGUUGGUGGGGUGAUGGCCUACCAGGCGGUGACGGGUAGCCGGCCUGAGAGGGCGACCGGCCACACUGGGACUGAGACACGGCCCAGACUCCUACGGGAGGCAGCAGUGGGGAAUAUUGCGCAAUGGGCGGAAGCCUGACGCAGCGACGCCGCGUGGGGGAUGACGGCCUUCGGGUUGUAAACCUCUUUCGACCGGGACGAAGGACGGUACCGGUAGAAGAAGCACCGGCC
rnacentral:rRNA from 1 species